rnacentral:misc_RNA from 1 species
GUGAGUCAUCGAAUCUUUGAACGCACAUUGCGCCCGCCAGCAUUCUGGCGGGCAUGCCUGUUCGAGCGUCAUUUCAACCCUCGCAGCCCAUCUGGGCAGCGGUGUUGGGGACCGGCACCACCGGCGAAGCCCUUAGGGGCCCAGCCGGCGCCGCCCCCGAAAUACAGUGGCGGUCUCGCUGCAGCCUCCCUUGCGUAGUAGCACACCUCGCACCGGAGCGCAGCGCGGCCACGCCGUAAAACCCCCGACUUUCUGAGUUUGACCUCGAAUCAGGUAGGAAUACCCGCUGAACUUAAGCAU